CAUUGAACCGGUCAUCUUCAUCUUUGUCAAACCUUUUACUUUCUCCAUUUCAAUCGGCAUGAAAGCGCGUGGAUGCAGGUGGCGACGGAGAUGAAGGAGACGACGGCCAUCGUGGGACUUGAGGUGGUUCCCGGCCCAUGGGAGGUUGCCUCAUCUCCCUCGGAAUCCGCAAACUCGAGGACGAGGGCUACCGCGAGGCCGUAGAUGACGAGAUCUUAACCCGCUGUCGCCUCAAGGUCUGUCGGGAGGAAGGGGACAGGGAGGCCGUCGAGAAGCGCCUCGGAUUUGGCCAGGUCGAGGAGCUCAUCGAGGAAGCCCUUGAAAAUCUCAACCUCAUCUACAUGAUGCUCGAGUGGGAGCCAUGGCAUGUUCCUGAAGACUAUGAAUAUGAAGUCAUUAAAGUCAACACUGUUUCCCAAACAUGUCUCUUGACACUGACCUUGUUAACUCCUAAUGGAGUUCUUCAAGACGGUAGGGGCAGUCUUUCAAUCAAAGAGACCAGGGAUGGGAGGUUGAUUUGGAAUCAAGUGUGCAUUAUCCACCAAGUAUUGGACCUGUGUGAUUUGAUUCGACUGGGACUGUCCUUGAGCGGUGUAUAUGGAGACCUGAGCCUGGGUCUCAGCCAGCUCACGUUGGGCGACGCUGAUCUCCCUCUGCAGCAUCGAUAUCACCCCAACACUCCCAUAAACUGGAUCUUGCACACGCCAGUAGGCCUCCAAUGCAAUAGCAUCUGCAGCUUGUCUUCUUUGCUCCACUGGAAUUUGCUGCAAGAUAUUUAUGCACACUGAUGAGAGAAAUUUUUUCAUAUGUUCCAGAUCCAGAGAAGGGCACAUGAACUAGUGAUUGUGAUUAUAGCAAGAAUGCAGGAAGAACAAGAACCUGCAACAUUCGAGCGGCAUUGCUGGCACCAAAGAUCCUAUGAACGCAGGCGAAUCUUUCGGGGUUGACGGAGGGGAAGUAGGGGGCUAACACACAAUCCUCGCAGCAUCUCCUCCUCAGGUAUCGACAAGCAGCACAUCGAGUGGAAUUGGACAUUGCUGUGGUUGCUGCUGGACUCUUAGAUUCUCCCAAG